rnacentral:rRNA from 1 species
ACGCUGACAGAAUGCUUAACACAUGCAAGUCUUUGGCGAAGCUGUGCUUGCACAGCCUAGCCAAGGCGGACGGGUGAGUAACGCGUAAGGAACUUGCCCUGCAGUCAGGGAUAACAGACGAAAACGACUGAUAAGACCUGGUAAAGUCAGGCGGACUCAUGUCCAGCCUGAUGAAAAGAGAUGCUGCAGGAGAGCCUUGCGUCCUAUUAGCUUGUUGGUGGGGUAACGGCCCACCAAGGCGAUGAUAGGUAGCCGGCCUGAGAAGGUGGACGGCCACAAGGGGACUGAGAUACGGCCCUUACUCCUACGGGAGGCAGCAGUGGGGAAUAUUGGACAAUGGGGGCAACCCUGAUCCAGCAAUUCUGUGUGCACGAUGAAGGUUUUCGGAUUGUAAAGUGCUUUCAGCAGGGAAGAAAAAAAUGACGGUACCUGCAGAAGAAGCGACGGCUAAAUACGUGCCAGCAGCCGCGGUAAUACGUAUGUCGCAAGCGUUAUCCGGAAUUAUUGGGCAUAAAGGGCAUCUAGGCGGCCAGAUAAAAAAUGGGGUGAAAACUUGCGGCUCAACCGCAAGCCUGCCCUGGAAACUAUGUGGCUAGAGUACUGGAGAGGUGGACGGAACUGCACGAGUAGAGGUGAAAUUCGUAGAUAUGUGCAGGAAUGCCGAUGAUGAAGAUAGUUCACUGGACGGUAACUGACGCUGAAGUGCGAAAGCUAGGGGAGCAAACAGGAUUAGAUACCCUGGUAGUCCUAGCUGUAAACGAUGAUUACUGGGUGUGGGCAUGAAGAGUGUCCGUGCCGAAGCUAAUGCGAUAAGUAAUCCGCCUGGGGAGUACGGCCGCAGGGCUGAAACUCAAAGGAAUUGACGGGGACCCGCACAAGCGGUGGAGCAUGUGGUUUAAUUCGACGC